rnacentral:rRNA from 1 species
CCUACGGGGGGCAGCAGUGGGGAAUAUUGGACAAUGGGGGGAACCCUGAUCCAGCCAUGCCGCGUGUGUGAAGAAGGCCCUCGGGUUGUAAAGCACUUUCAGUGAGGAAGAACGCCUGGUGGUUAAUACCCAUCAGGAAAGACAUCACUCACAGAAGAAGCACCGUCUAACUCCGUGCCAGCAGCCGCGGUAAUACGGAGGGUGCGAGCGUUAAUCGGAAUUACUGGGCGUAAAGCGCGCGUAGGUGGCGUGAUAAGCCGGUUGUGAAAGCCCCGGGCUCAACCUGGGAACGGCAUCCGGAACUGUCAAGCUAGAGUGCAGGAGAGGAAGGUAGAAUUCCCGGUGUAGCGGUGAAAUGCGUAGAGAUCGGGAGGAAUACCAGUGGCGAAGGCGGCCUUCUGGACUGACACUGACACUGAGGUGCGAAAGCGUGGGUAGCAAACAGGAUUAGAUACUCGAGUAGUC